rnacentral:rRNA from 1 species
UAAUCCGGGUUGCGGACAGUGUCUGGUGGGUAGUUUGACUGGGGCGGUCUCCUCCUAAAGAGUAACGGAGGAGCACGAAGGUUGGCUAAUCCUGGUCGGACAUCAGGAGGUUAGUGCAAUGGCAUAAGCCAGCUUGACUGCGAGCGUGACGGCGCGAGCAGGUGCGAAAGCAGGUCAUAGUGAUCCGGUGGUUCUGAAUGGAAGGGCCAUCGCUCAACGGAUAAAAGGUACUCCGGGGAUAACAGGCUGAUACCGCCCAAGAGUUCAUAUCGACGGCGGUGUUUGGCACCUCGAUGUCGGCUCAUCACAUCCUGGGGCUGAAGUAGGUCCCAAGGGUAUGGCUGUUCGCCAUUUAAAGUGGUACGCGAGCUGGGUUUAGAACGUCGUGAGACAGUUCGGUCCCUAUCUGCCGUGGGCGCUGGAGAACUGAGGGGGGCUGCUCCUAGUACGAGAGGACCGGAGUGGACGCAUCACUGGUGUUCGGGUUGUCAUGCCAAUGGCACUGCCCGGUAGCUAAAUGCGGAAGAGAUAAGUGCUGAAAGCAUCUAAGCACGAAACUUGCCCCGAGAUGAGUUCUCCCUGAGACUUAGAGUCUCCUGAAGGAACGUUGAAGACGACGACGUUGAUAGGCCGGGUGUGUAAGCGCAGCGAUGCGUUGAGCUAACCGGUACUAAUGAACCGUGAG